rnacentral:rRNA from 1 species
AUUGAACGCUGGCGGCAGGCCUAACACAUGCAAGUCGAGCGGAUGACGGGAGCUUGCUCCUUGAUUCAGCGGCGGACGGGUGAGUAAUGCCUAGGAAUCUGCCUGGUAGUGGGGGACAACGUUUCGAAAGGAACGCUAAUACCGCAUACGUCCUACGGGAGAAAGCAGGGGACCUUCGGGCCUUGCGCUAUCAGAUGAGCCUAGGUCGGAUUAGCUAGUUGGUGGGGUAAUGGCUCACCAAGGCGACGAUCCGUAACUGGUCUGAGAGGAUGAUCAGUCACACUGGAACAGAGACACGGUCCAGACUCCUACGGGAGGCAGCAGUGGGGAAUAUUGGACAAUGGGCGAAAGCCUGAUCCAGCCAUGCCGCGUGUGUGAAGAAGGUCUUCGGAUUGUAAAGCACUUUAGGUUGGGAGGAAGGGCAGUAAGUUAAUACCUUGCUGUUUUGACGUUACCGACAGAAUAAGCACCGGCUAACUCUGUGCCAGCCGCCGCCGUAAAAC